UACGGAGGAUGCGAGCGUUAUCCGGAUUUAUUGGGUUUAAAGGGUGCGUAGGCGGGAGAUCAAGUCAGCGGUAAAAUCGUGGGGCUCAACCCCAUCCGGCUGUUGAAACUGAUUUUCUUGAGUGAGCGAGAGGUAUGCGGAAUGCGUGGUGUAGCGGUGAAAUGCAUAGAUAUCACGCAGAACUCCGAUUGCGAAGGCAGCGUACCGGUGCUCAACUGACGCUGAGGCACGAAAGCGUGGGGAUCAAACAGG
rnacentral:rRNA from 1 species